rnacentral:tRNA from 1 species
UAUAUUGGCAGACUAUUGCAUUAAAAUUAGAAUUUAACUACAC